GCCCAUCACGUAAGCAGUGAACUGCUCUGAAGGCGUCCAACCUCGCGUCCAAAUUUGCUGAAUGAGAAGGACGCGCGCGAUGGAGAUGCGACGCAUCCUUUACGGCUUCAAUCUGCUGAAUGGCUUUACGGGCAAGGGUCGUUCUAUUAUUUGGGAGUUGGUUCUUAAGACUUAAGAGAUAGAGAAGGGAGUUCUCUACCAUUAAUACUUCUUCAAGAUUGUUGACAAAAAUCUCAAGAACACUUCAAGAACCUAAAUCUUGAAUUCUUCUAGGGUUUGACAAAAAGAUUGUGACUCGUCGGCAUUAUUUGAUCAUUUGGGGUAAGGUUGGAAGCAAUUUGAGGUACGUUGAAACUUAUUACCUUCGGAGCUUUUCUCCAAACUCAUAUCGAAUCACGAUUAAAUUGAGCUUCUAAAUGUGAGUCCUAUCCUGUGGGGACGAGCGAGAUGGGAUUGUACCAUUUCUUGUAUCAUAAAAUAUUUGAGUGCUAUGAAUAUUAUUUUCUUGAAAUGUUAUUCAAAUUUUGAAACUAGACAAAUGAG